CUUUAUUAAGCAAGAUGCUCUAGUACUUUCUCGCACUGAUUACUGCAAUUCUCUCAGAGAACUUCUCACAGCGUAUCCUUUUCAUUUGGAUCAGCCUGCCUUCCCCGAUCAGACUCUACCCUAGUCUUCAAUCAUUUAAGAAGUCCUCAAAACGCAUCUCUUCAGAAAAGCUUAUUUCCUCCCAGAGUAACUUCUAUUUCACAAACCUGCCUGUUGGCGCUCUCCUAAAGGGCCACAAUGCACUCUUACCUCCAAUUUUGCUACCUUCCCACCUUGUUGUUUGGUUGCUACCCCAUCAAAGCCCUUCAGAUUGUGUCUUUAUAUCCCAGCUCCUCUAGACUGUAAGCUCAGUUGAGCAGUGUCCUAAUCAACCUAUU